rnacentral:rRNA from 1 species
AGUGAACGCUGGCGGUAGGCCUAACACAUGCAAGUCGAACGGCAGCACAGUAAGAGCUUGCGCUUACGGGUGGCGAGUGGCGGAUGGGUGAGGAAUACAUCGGAAUCUACUUUUUCGUGGGGGAUAACGGAGGGAAACUUACGCUAAUACCGCAUACGACCUACGGGGGAAACCAGGGGAUCUUCGGACCUUGCGCGAUUGAAUGAGCCGAUGUCGGAUUAGCUAGUUGGCUGGGUAAAGGCCCACCAAGGCGACGAUCCGUAGCUGGUCUGAGAGGAUGAUCAGCCACACUGGAACUGAGACACGGUCCAGACUCCUACGGGAGGCAGCAGUGGGGAAUAUUGGACAAUGGGCGCAAGCCUGAUCCAGCCAUACCGCGUGGGUGAAGAAGGCCUUCGGGUUGUAAAGCCCUUUUGUUGGGAAAGAAAAGCAGCAGGUUAAUACCCCGCUGUUCUGACGGUACCCAAAGAAUAAGCACCGGCUAACUUCGUG